ACCAAGGGACCUCAGCCACUCCUCACACAUCUUCCCCUCCAGACCCUUCACCAUCUUUUUAGCCCUCCUUUGGGCACUCUCUAGUAGUUUUAUGUCCUUUUCAUACUGUGGUGCCCAAACCUGCACACAGUGCCUGAGGUGAGGCCUCAUGAGGCAGAGCGCAGAUGGACUGUCCCUUCCCUUAGCACCAGCUAGCAGCGCCAUGCCUGAGGCACCCCAGGGGUUGGCCCUUUUGGUGUCCAGAGCACUGUGUUGAUCUAUCUUCACCUUGCUGUCAACCAGAACCCCCAGAUCCCUUUCUGCAGCUGCUUUCCAGCCUCUUGUACCCAGUGCUGUACAUACAGGCAGGGUUGUCCCCUCCCAGGUAAAGAAUCUGGCAUUCGUUCUUGCUAAACUUUGUCUGGUUGGUCAGUGUGGCCCAACAGUGUCAAAUGCAGAUUUUCAAGGUAGGGGUUUGAAAAGCGAAAGAUUGCUGCGUGCUGGUGUGCCAGACUUUACUUUGUCCAGUUUAGCACCUCAGCAGUUGUUUUGGAAAUCAGUUAAGGAAAUGAACAUUCAGAUUGGAGUGAUUACAAGCAGUCUUGAGAAGCCUGACAGAUAUUAUAGAUAAGCCUGGUAUUUAUUAUCUUUAACUUAAAAAAAAAAAAAAAAAAAAAAAAAGCCAAGCUUACUCAUGUUUUUGGAUGGUGUUUUAAAAUCCAUGUAGCUUAUUUCAAAGAACACAGGCCACCAGUUUGCUUACUUGGGCACGUGGAAAUUUAAAGCUGAAAUAAUCUCAGUAAAAUUGGUGGAAGCGGUGAUGUGUUCAGAGAAGGUAUAUUCACAUUUUCUGGUGAAUCUUGUGUUGAGAUGUUUGAAGUAAAGAAUUUCCAGUGUGGAGAUGCCUGGCUAUUUGUACGUAUGUUCUUAAAAUGUUGUCUUUGCUUCUCCCUCCCAUGGGGUUUUGGAAGGGAUUUCUCUGCAGCGCUAUUGCCUCUGUAUCCCUGAGGCUGAGUGUGGCACUGCGAAAACCAGCAGCAGUCCAGCAGGAAUCCUUUGCUCCCCUUAUGAGUGAGUGGAUUCCAAGAGCUGAGCUGAGUGGCUUGUAGAAAAACAUGGGAGCAUGGUUGUAGAAAACACAUGAAGAUUAUUUCCCUAACAGGAGGGAUGAAGAGGAUGAACUUAUACUUCCAAAAGUCUAAAGUGCAAGUCUGAGAUGACAUCUUCCAAGCGUAGUGACACUGCUGCUCAGCAUCUGAAGAAGCAUCAGGAAAGCUGUAGAGAAAGUUCUUUCCACUUUUAUCUAUUGAAAAAGUUCAGGCUUGUAUGCUGUAGCGUCUGUAAAUGUAAAUGUAUUUGGAGUAAAUACUCAUGCGCUUUUCUUGUA